AGAGUUUGAUCAUGGCUCAGGAUGAACGCUAGCUACAGGCUUAACACAUGCAAGUCAAGGGGCAGCAUGGUCUUAGCUUGCUAAGGCCGAUGGCGACCGGCGCACGGGUGAGUAACACGUAUCCAACCUGCCGUCUACUCUUGGACAGCCUUCUGAAAGGAAGAUUAAUACAAGAUGGCAUCAUGAGUCCGCAUGUUCACAUGAUUAAAGGUAUUCCGGUAGACGAUGGGGAUGCGUUCCAUUAGAUAGUAGGCGGGGUAACGGCCCACCUAGUCUUCGAUGGAUAGGGGUUCUGAGAGGAAGGUCCCCCACAUUGGAACUGAGACACGGUCCAAACUCCUACGGAAGGCAGCAGUGAGGAAUAUUGGUCAAUGGGCGAGAGCCUGAACCAGCCAAGUAGCGUGAAGGAUGACUGCCCUAUGGGUUGUAAACUUCUUUUAUAAAGGAAUAAAGUCGGGUAUGCAUACCCGUUUGCAUGUACUUUAUGAAUAAGGAUCGGCUAACUCCGUGCCAGCAGCCGCGGUAAUACGGAGGAUCCGAGCGUUAUCCGGAUUUAUUGGGUUUAAAGGGAGCGUAGAUGGAUGUUUAAGUCAGUUGUGAAAGUUUGCGGCUCAACCGUAAAAUUGCAGUUGAUACUGGAUAUCUUGAGUGCAGUUGAGGCAGGCGGAAUUCGUGGUGUAGCGGUGAAAUGCUUAGAUAUCACGAAGAACUCCGAUUGCGAAGGCAGCCUGCUAAGCUGCAACUGACAUUGAGGCUCGAAAGUGUGGGUAUCAAACAGGAUUAGAUACCCUGGUAGUCCACACGGUAAACGAUGAAUACUCGCUGUUUGCGAUAUACAGCAAGCGGCCAAGCGAAAGCGUUAAGUAUUCCACCUGGGGAGUACGCCGGCAACGGUGAAACUCAAAGGAAUUGACGGGGGCCCGCACAAGCGGAGGAACAUGUGGUUUAAUUCGAUGAUACGCGAGGAACCUUACCCGGGCUUAAAUUGCAGAUGAAUUACGGUGAAAGCCGUAAGCCGCAAGGCAUCUGUGAAGGUGCUGCAUGGUUGUCGUCAGCUCGUGCCGUGAGGUGUCGGCUUAAGUGCCAUAACGAGCGCAACCCUUGUUGUCAGUUACUAACAGGUUCCGCUGAGGACUCUGACAAGACUGCCAUCGUAAGAUGUGAGGAAGGUGGGGAUGACGUCAAAUCAGCACGGCCCUUACGUCCGGGGCUACACACGUGUUACAAUGGGGGGUACAGAGGGCCGCUACCACGCGAGUGGAUGCCAAUCCCAAAAACCUCUCUCAGUUCGGACUGGAGUCUGCAACCCGACUCCACGAAGCUGGAUUCGCUAGUAAUCGCGCAUCAGCCACGGCGCGGUGAAUACGUUCCCGGGCCUUGUACACACCGCCCGU
rnacentral:rRNA from 1 species